rnacentral:rRNA from 1 species
UGAAUACGAGAUGCUACGGCGUCGAAGCAGUCUAUGUCAUACUUCCAAGAAAAGCUCGCACUGUCAUAAACAAAUAAUGCCUGUACCAUAACCGACACAGGUGGGUAGGUAGAGUAUACUAAGGGGCGCGAGAUAACUCUCUCUAAGGAACUCGGCAAAAUGACUCCGUAACUUCGGGAGAAGGAGUGCCUUAUUUAUAAGGUUGCAAUAACAAGAUCCAAGCAACUGUUUAUCAAAAACACAGGUCUCCGCUAAGUCGUAAGACGAUGUAUGGGGGCUGACGCCUGCCCAGUGCCAGAAGGUCAAAGAAGUUGGUUAGCAUUCGCGAAGCUGAUAACUGAAGCCCUGGUGAACGGCGGCCGUAACAAUAACGGUCCUAAGGUAGCGAAAUUCCUUGUCGGGUAAGUUCCGACCCGCACGAAAGGCGUAAUGAUUUGGAUACUGUCUCGGAGAGGGGCUCGGUGAAAUAGACUUGUCUGUGAAGAUGCGGACUACCUGCACCAGGACAGAAAGACCCUAUGAAGCUUUACUGUAACUUGAGAUUGAAAUUGGACUUUACUUGCGCAGUAUAGGUGGGAGGCGUUGAUAAUAUUCUUGCGGGAUUAUUUGAGCCAUCAGUGAGAUACCACUCUUGUAAUGUUAGAUUUCUAACUUUGUAUCAUUAUCUGGUCAAAGGACAGUUUCAGGCGGGCAGUUUGACUGGGGCGGUCGCCUCCUAAACGGUAACGGAGGCGCACAAAGGUUUCCUCUGAACGGGUAGAAAUCGUAUCUAGAGUGUAAAGGCAUAAGGAAGCUUGACUGUGAGACCUACAAGUCGAGCAGGGACGAAAGUCGGUCUUAGUGAUCUGACGGUGCUGAGUGGAAAGGCCGUCACUCAACGGAUAAAAGUUACUCUAGGAUAACAGGCUGAUCUCCCCCAAGAGUUCACAUCGACGGGGAGGUUUGGCACCUCGAUGUCGGCUCAUCGCAUCCUGGGGCGGUAGUACGUCCCAAGGGUUGGGCUGUUCGCCCAUGAAAGCGGUACGCGAGCUGGGUUCAGAACGUCGUGAGACAGUUCGGUCCAUAUCCGGUGUAGGCGUUAGAAUAUUGAGAGGAGCCUUCUUUAGUACGAGAGGACCGAGAAGGACAUACCUCUGGUGUACCAGUUAUCGUGCCAACGGUAAACGCUGGGUAGCUAUGUAUGGAGUGGAUAACCGCUGAAAGCAUCUAAGUGGGAAGCCCACCUCAAGAUAAGUAUUCUCAC